UACGGGGGGGGCCAGCGUUGUUCGGAAUUACUGGGCGUAAAGGGCUCGUAGGCGGCCAACUAAGUCAGACGUGAAAUCCCUCGGCUUAACCGGGGAACUGCAUCUGAUACUGGAUGGCUUGAGUUCGGGAGAGGGAUGUGGAAUUCCAGGUGUAGCGGUGAAAUGCGUAGAUAUCUGGAGGAACACCGGUGGCGAAGGCGGGGCUCUGGGCAACAACUGACGCUGAGGAGCGAAAGCGUGGGGAGCGAACAGG
rnacentral:rRNA from 1 species